rnacentral:rRNA from 1 species
CACGUAGGGGCCAAGCGUUGUCCGGAUUUAUUGGGCGUAAAGAGCUCGUAGGCGGUUGGGUAAGUCGGGUGUGAAAACUCCAGGCUCAACUUGGAGACGCCACCCGAUACUGCUCUGACUUGAGUUCGGUAGGGGAGUGGGGAGUUCCUGGUGUAGCGGUGAAAUGCGCAGAUAUCAGGAGGAACACCGGUGGCGAAGGCGCCACUCUGGGCCGAAACUGACGCUGAGGAGCGAAAGCGUGGGUAGCAAACAGG